CACAGAGCAGGGUGGAAGAUGGUGAGGAGGUAAGUGACAGUUUGCUCUUUGAUACGUCAGAUGAUGAAGAGCUGAGAGAACAGCUGGAUAUGCACUCAAUCAUCGUCUCCUGUGUUAAUGAUGAACCCCUCUUCACGGCAGACCAGGUUAUUGAAGAAAUUGAAGAAAUGAUGCAGGAAUCACCGGACCCAGAAGAUGAUGAAACCCCUACACAGUCAGAUCGGCUUUCAAUGCUUUCCCAGGAAAUUCAAACUCUUAAGAGGUCUAGUACCGGCAGUUACGAAGAGAGAGUGAAAAGGCUGUCAGUGUCUGAGUUAAAUGAAAUCCUGGAAGAAAUUGAGACUGCCAUUAAGGAGUACUCUGAGGAGCUGGUGCAGCAGUUGGCUUUACGAGAUGAACUGGAGUUUGAAAAGGAAGUGAAAAACAGCUUUAUUUCUGUUCUUAUUGAAGUGCAAAACAAACAGAAAGAGCACAAAGAAACAGCAAAAAAGAAAAAGAAACUAAAAAAUGGCAGCUCUCAGAAUGGGAAGAAUGAGAGAAGUCAUAUGCCCGGCACAUAUUUGACUACAGUCAUUCCUUAUGAGAAAAAAAAUGGACCACCGUCUGUUGAAGAUCUUCAAAUAUUAACAAAAAUUCUUUGUGCCAUGAAGGAGGACAGUGAAAAAGUUCCGAGCUUGUUAACUGAUUAUAUUCUGAAAG
rnacentral:sRNA from 1 species